AUUGAACGCUGGCGGUAGGCCUAACACAUGCAAGUCGAGCGGCAGCACAGUAAUUGCUCGCGCUUACAGGGGCCGACUGGCGAAUGAUGCCUAAGAACCUGGCUGUUUGUUGUUGCUAACGUCAUGACACGGGGAAUCAUACCCCAUUCGCCCUGACGACGUAAGGGUGGAAGCAUGGGACCUUACGCUCUCGCGUGAUUCUAGGUCGCGUUGGCUGGUUGGUGGGGUAAAGGCCCACCAAGGCGACGAUCCGUAACUGGUCUGAGAGGAUGAUCAGGCACACUGGAACUGAGACACGGUCCAGACUCCUACGGGAGGCAGCAGUGGGGAAUAUUGGACAAAGGGCGCAAGCCUGAUCCAGCCAUACCGCGUGUGUGAAGAAGGCCUUCGGGUUGUAAAGCCCUUUUGUUGGGGAAGAAAAGCAGCAAGUUAAUACCUUGCUGUUCUGACGUUACCAAAAGAAUAAGCACCGGCUAACUUCGUG
rnacentral:rRNA from 1 species